rnacentral:rRNA from 1 species
GACGAACCGUGCGAACGUUAUUCGGAAUCACUGGGCGUAAAGCGCGCGUAGGCGGCUUUGCAAGUCGGGUGUGAAAUCCCCAGGCUUAACCUGGGAACUGCAUUCGAGACUGCAUUGCUAGAGUAUGGGAGAGGGAAGUGGAAUUUCAGGUGUAGCGGUGAAAUGCGUAGAUAUCUGAAGGAACAUCAGUGGCGAAAGCGACUUCCUGGACCAAUACUGACGCUCAUGUGCGAAAAGCGUGGGGAGCAAACAGG